rnacentral:lncRNA from 1 species
UUUUGAUAGAAAAUUCUAUUCACUACCUCUAAGAUCAAUAACUCCGAUCUUAAAUUGAAGGAUCCAAUCAUCCAUUUUUAGGACGUUGUUCGAUUUUGACCGUCCAUUUUAUGCUCGUUUGAUGGACUUUAUUAUAAUUUCGAAAAAUUACGAAAUUUAUUUUUUAGAAGUUUCAAAUACUCUAGAUCAUAUUUAACGGACUAGAUCGUCGAUUCAGAAACCCCAUCAUCGAAAACAACAAAUGAGUAUGAAGGGCCCAAUACUCAUAAGAGUAUAAUAGCCCUACUCUAUAUAUAUAUAUAGGGUCCGGCUACUAUACUAUUAUGAGUACGAUCGCCCUCGUACUCAUAAGUUGUUUUCGAUGAUAGAGCUUCCGAAUCGACGAUCCACACUGUUAAACAUUAUCUAGAGCAUUUAAAACUUCUAGAAAUCAAAUUUCAUAAUUUUUUGACAUCAUUUGCCUUACGAUCAAAAACUCACAAAAUUGACAAUUUUUAACAACCGUUAUGGGAUACUUGCUAGUUUAACGGUGUAAAAGAAUCGGAAUUUGUUGAAUUUUUGAUAGAAAAUUCUAUUCACUACAUAGAUAAAGAUCAAUAACUCCGAUCUUGAAUUGAAGGAUCCGAUCAUCCUUUUUUAGGACGUCGUUCGAUUUUGACCGUUCAUUUUAUGCCCACUUGAUGGACUUUAUUAUGAUUUCGAAAAUUUACGAAAUUUAUUUUCUAGAAGUUUCAAAUACUCUAGAUCAUAUUUAACGGAGUGGAUCGUCGAUUGGGAAGCUCUAUUAUCGAAAACAACUUAUGAGUACGAGGGCUCCAAUACUCAUAAUAGUAUAGUAGCCAUGGCCUAUAUAUAUAUAUAGGCUAGGCGACUAUACUCUUAUGAGUAUAGACCCUUUUAUACUUAUAAAUUUUUGGCUAUUGGAUGUGCGAUUAAGAUGAUAGUGGUCCUUUAGGAUUGAGUGGUCUCCUAGAAUGGAAAUGGUCAAAAAGAUAGAUCUAAUGGUCGAAAACUUAUGAGUAUAAAUGAGUCUAUACUCAUAAUAGUAUAAUAGCCGAACUCUCUAUAUAUAUAAUUAAUAUAAUAUAUACUUUAAUUAUAUAAAAUAAUAUAUUAUGUAUUUAAUUAUAU